AUCUACGAUCACACCGCCCUGAACACAUUUGAUCUCGGAAGCUAAGCAGGGUCAGGCCUGGUUAGUACUUGGAUGGGAGGAAGCUAAUAACAGAAACCAUGUGACCUUGAGUC
rnacentral:rRNA from 1 species